CCAGUGUACUGGGCAUGGUUGAGAAAUUCUGUCUGUACCAGGAGUCUGUAGUCAGGGUGUUUGUGUGUGCGUUAAUGAGUAACCGACUUCGAGAAACACAAACCCCGCUACGGUUCGGAAGAGCGACUCCGAAGUGAUCCCAGUGUACUGGGCAUGGUUGAGAAAUUCCGUUAAAGUGGACCUUGUCUAUGGUCGUCUGUACAAGGAGUCUGUAGUCAGGGGUGUUUGUGUGUGCGUUAAUGAGUAACCGACUUCGAGAAACACAAACCCCGCUACGGUUCGGAAGAGCGACUCCGAAGUGAUCCCAGUGUACUGGGCAUGGUUGAGAAAUUCUGUCUGUACCAGGAGUCUGUAGUCAGGGUGUUUGUGUGUGCGUUAAUGAGUAACCGACUUCGAGUAUCACAAACACCGCUACUGUUCAGAAGAGCGACUCCGAAGUGAUCCCAGUGUACUGGGCAUGGUUGAGAAAUUCCCUCUGUACGAGGAGUCUGUAGUCAGGGGUAUUUGUGUGUGCGUUAAUGAGUAACCGACUUCGAGUAUCACAAACACCGCUACUGUUCAGAAGAGCGACUCCGAAGUGAUCCCAGUGUACUGGGCAUGGUUGAGAAGUAUCGUUAAACUGGUGCUUUUCUGUGGUCGUCUGUACCAGGAGUCUGUAGUCAGGGGUGUUUGUGUGUGCGUUAAUGAGUAACCGACUUCGAGAAACACAAACCCCGCUACGGUUCGGAAGAGCGACUCCGAAGUGAUCCCAGUGUACUGGGCAUGGUUGAGAAAUUCUGUCUGUACCAGGAGUCUGUAGUCAGGGGUGUUUGUGUGUGCGUUAAUGAGUAACCGACUUCGAGUAUCACAAACACCGCUACUGUUCAGAAGAGCGACUCCGAAGUGAUCCCAGUGUACUGGGCAUGGUUGAGAAAUUCCCUCUGUACGAGGAGUCUGUAGUCAGGGGUGUUUGUGUGUGCGUUAAUGAGUAACCGACUUCGAGUAUCACAAACACCGCUACUGUUCAGAAGAGCGACUCCGAAGUGAUCCCAGUGUACUGGGCAUGGUUGAGAAAUUCCCUCUGUACGAGGAGUCUGUAGUCAGGGUGUGUGUGUGUGCGUUAAUGAGUAACCGACUUCGAGUAUCACAAACACCGCUACUGUUCAGAAGAGCGACUCCGAGGUGAUCCCAGUGUACUGGGCAUGGUUGAGAAAUUCCCUCUGUACGAGGAGUCUGUAGUCAGGUGUGUUUGUGUGUGCGUUAAUGAGUAACCGACUUCGAGUAUCACAAACACCGCUACUGUUCAGAAGAGCGACUCCGAGGUGAUCCCAGUGUACUGGGCAUGGUUGA